rnacentral:rRNA from 1 species
AUUGAACGCUGGCGGCAGGCCUAACACAUGCAAGUCGAGCGAGAGGCGGACGGGUGAGUAAUGUCUGGGAAACUGCCCGAUGGAGGGGGAUAACUACUGGAAACGGUAGCUAAUACCUCAUACCAUCUGAUGUGCCCAGAUGGGAUUAGCUAGUAGGUGGGGUAAUGGCUCACCUCGGCGACGAUCCCUAGCUGGUAUGAGAGGAUGACCAUCCACACUGGAACUGAGACACGGUCCAGACUCCUACGGGAGGCAGCAGGGGGGAAUAUUGCACAAUGGGCGCAAGCCUGAUGCAGCCAUGCCGCGUGUAUGAAGAAGGCCUUCGGGUUGUAAAGCACUUUCAGCGAGGAGGCGUUACUCGCAGAAGAAGCAUCGGCUAACUCCGUGCCAGCAGCCGCGGUAAUAC